AUGUCAAAAAAGGAAAAAGAAAAAUCAGCUCCCAAUCUAAAAGUCUACAUCUUCCUUUUCUCACGUACUUUCAUUCCUUGGACAAAAAAAUCUCUUCUCCACUUGCAUCUUGGCCUCUUACCGACAGACUAAAGGUCAAUGCUCUCGUCUGACCCUGCUAAGCAGCCCAAGCCACUGUUAAUCAUUUAGCAGCUCGGACUUGGGAAGACCUUUAUACACAUACUGCCCUCUGGCAGGGCGCAAAGGGAUAAUGGAUCAACCGAAAAAGUCAGGGAAAACUUUAGCCGAGUUUAUACUGUGGAUCAGCAGCAUGGAAGUGGGAAAUACAAAUCUAGACUAAUCCAGGCUGGGCAUCACCAGGCGUCACUCGAUGCCUCUCCAGUGUUCAUGAGCCCACUCAUGACAUUUACAGACGCAGCUCGAGAGACAGCACAAAUAACCAAGAGUCUUCAGGGACUCGGAGUGCAUGAGAGCAUUCGGCAAAGGUCUUCCAACAGGUGGUCCAGAAGCAAGGUGAAUUCGGGGGCCGCCAUGACUUUUCAGGACCCGCCUGCUAUCUCACAAUCGCUCUGAGGGUCCAGCCCUCCUGGUAGGCUCCUAUCAUUCCAGCAGUGGCCUCCUUCCACCCCUCUCCUCCAGGAUCUCCACUCCAUUCACUCCAGUGGUGAGUUCAUUCUUGGGAGCUAGCAAUGGUCCCUAUAAGCCAGCCAUCCGCUAGUGCACCAUAAGGUUCUAGAGCAGCCAAGAGAAAUCAGGAAACACCUAUUUCAGGGUCACACAGCCGAAUCCCACUUUAUGAUUUCACGUUCUCCUCUGAUGGAAUUCCCGGAUUGAAACACGUACUUGUGCUGGAGCCUUCCUGGGAGAGUCUGAAGGAAUCCGGAGCCCUCCUGUACUCCUCACUCCUACUCCUGUCACCAACGGGAGGGGCUGGCUACCCCGGAUUACUAGUCUUUCAGUCCAUGUCCAAAAGGAGUUAGCUCUUUUCUGGGCUCGGCAAACACAUUCUGAAGUGCUAAUAGCCCUUAAUGAGGACAUCUGCCAUCAGUUAAGGAACUGGAACAGGCAAAACAGUCAAACUCUGUGGUUCAGGGUUGCAAACUGCUAUUUGUCAUGUGACUGUGCUGGACAACCACAUGUCUCGGCACACAUAGGCACGCCCCCACAUUUGCCUGCGUGCACACACUCACGCACGGCGGCCGCACUCUCCUACUGCCCAGGGACACUGCAGCGAACCAUGAUACCACCUCGCGGCAGGCGCUUUCAGAACACGAAUCGUCAACAAAAUGACAGAAGGAAGCAGGAAUAAGCAGGACCACGCGGAGAAGUCCGGUUCCAGGAGGAGGUGGGGCGACGGAAAAUUGCUGACUUGGCAUUUUACCCACAGCCAGGACUGGAGGGAGGGAACCAGGAGCCAAGUAUCCCAGGAGAGAACAAGCCUCACGACUAGCAGUCUUCAGGGUACACUUCUAAGAGACCUGCACACGACCCCAAACCACCCACAAAUGCUUGAACAGCCCUUAGGUUUAUACUCUCAAACGCACACACUGGGGCUUCUUUUCUUUCAUGACUUUCCAGCAACUCAAUAAAAUACAGAGGAACAAGACUGUCCCCACUUUAGAGCUGUGAGAACACAGGUUCUUCAAGAAGGUCACCUAUUUGUCCAAAAUCCCAAAGCAAGCUGGCAGGGGCAUUGUCAGUUUCACGUGCCUUCCUGGUCUAGUUCUCUCUGCCCCACAAGUGGAGACCCAGCAGCAAGAGGAGGCUUAGGCUGGGGUGGGGCAGGGGUGACUUGGGGGAAUCCAGAGGAAGAGAGCGAGUUUCAUGGAGAAGGGAUCUAUUGGAAGCACUUGCAGCUACAACAAGCAAAAGCUGGCAAUUAAAAAAAAAAAAAGCUGCCAUUCCAAAAAUAUAAAACACAGACGUGAGGGUUCUCAAAGCCUACCCAACAGUCAAGGCCGCUCAGCACUAAGGCCCUGAGUGGGCACUCGCUGGAAAGGGAAGGCUGAGAGGUAACAACGCCCCAGGUAACAAUCCCGAGAUGACAAAAAGGGCACCUAUGUUCUUGCUCCUUGAAGAAAGCAGAGGAACACAGGAACACGGGCUCUACUUUUUUCUUGAGACAGAGUCUCAUUCUGUCGCCAAGGCUGGGGUGCAGUGGUGCCAUCCUGGCUCACUGCAGCCUCCGCCUCCCAGGUCCCAGCAGUUCUCCUGCCCCAGCCUUCCAAGUAACCAGGAUUAUAAGCACUUGCCACCUGGCCGGGCUAAUUUUUUAUUUUUAGUAGAGAUGAGGUUUCACCAUGUUGGCCAGGCUGGUCUCAAACUCCCGGCCUCCAGUGAUCCGCCCACCUCGGCCUCCCCAAGUGCUGGGAUUACAGGCGUGAGCCACUGUGCCCGACCAAUUUUUUCCUUUUUCAUUUAGGAAGUUAAAAUAGAAACACUAUUUGGAACUCAAAAGUCAUUUGAAUGGAUUGUCAUAUUCUCUGACAAUGCUAAACAAAGGAGAAUCACUCCUGGGGGUGAAAUGGUUAAAGGAGAAAGCUGGUUUGGAACUCAAAUGUCACUUCGAUGAAUGAUCACAUUCUCUGACAAUGCCAAACUGACAGGCAGUGGAUCCUGGCGGGAUGAGAGCUACCUGGUGACUCACCUGGCUGGAAUCAGCAGGUCCUAAAAAGGCAACCGCCCCCUCCUUGUGGUGGGUAAUCAAGGCUCCCAUUUAGAGGCUUGCCAGUCAAAAGGAACCCACACCAGUGUCCAUGGUUGGAGCUCAAUGCCAAGUCAGACAGCUCUGGCCCCUGCCCAUCACCCACGUGAUUAGGUGCCUGCCCCGCUCACUUUGGGUAAAGGGGUCCCAUUCCUGCUCUGUUUCCUUAAGCCUGAAUCUCAACCUUGGGGCCCUGCCUCCAAACCUCCCCCAGGUGGGGACGGGCAGGCCUCUGGGAGCUAAUCCCGCCCACAACCAGACCCACCUGGUGAGGGACUCACCAGAAUCCCUGGGAAAGGGCCCCGGAGCAGAAAAAGCCCAGCAUCUUUAAACACCUGCUGAUAUGCUAAACGUGGGUACAGCUCUUGACCAUGCACCAAACCAGAUAUUAAGAAACCCAAGAGUCAGAUGCUGCCCUAAUGAAUUUGGGGCCUAAAUGAGCUAACACUGAGUCCACACAGCCAGCACUUGUCUAUAAAAGCACUUAAUAUGCUCCGAAGCUACAUUUAUGUACUCGUGUGGUAUGAUGAGAUGAAUGAAUGAACAUUUGCUUCUCUCAGGAAAAGGAAAAAAAAAUUCAGCAAUCAGAGUGAAGCCUGAUUUUAAAAAGAUGAUGUUAGAAUGGAGCCCAUGAGUUAGAUGAAUAUCCAUGUGAAAAUUUUCAGUUUUUGGUAUCAGUUAGAUAAGUCAAAAUAAAACGUGUUACGAAGCUAAAAACAAUCCACCGAGUGACUGGAGGUUAAAGGAGACACACGUUUCCCCCAAAAACAGAAAGGCGGCCUUAGUGAAGAGAAGACAGGCACCAUCGGGGAGGAUUUAAACACACAGUGGAAAAUAAACAGAAGGGAGGAGGGGCUUGCCCAGGGCACAAACCACUAAGGAAGUGCCUUAAACGUAUUUUUCUCUGGAGGAAGCCAUUUAAGGAAUCUUUAUGCCCCAAUAACUGUGGGCCUGAGAGAGAGAUGGCAAAACAGGCUGAAUGAGAGUUCACCCCAGUCCCAGCUUAGGAUGUUGGGGUGCCACUGUGAUGCUUUUCCUAAAACAGACUGGGUGGUGGCAUGAAUCAGAGGGUAAUCACUGGUGAAGACGUGCUGAACCCAAGCAACAAAAAAAUGUGCAUCGAUCGCAGACGGCAGCUGGCCCACAUCCAUGGGUUUUCAGAGAAGGAAAGGGUAAAAUCAGCACAGGGUGCUGAUGAGCUCUGCCUGCCCCAGGGACACAACUGAGGGUGCUGACACCCCUUACCCACCGCAGACCGGCAGGCAGACUGGACUUAGUUCAAGGCCAACAUUAGAGGAGAAUCUUUUGAAGCAAAGGCAGUAGGAUGUUCCCAAGAAAUAAAAUCACAUCUAAGUGACAAGAGAAUAACAGGGACCCUUGUA